ACACCAAAACCACAUCAGACCUGAAACCCAUCAGUUAACCAGCAACAGAAAACGCCUGAAGAUCUGUCACACACACAGACCAGGCCAAUCUCAGUCCUACAGUCCAGUUUUACUGCUGCAACUCUUUUAAUUAUUUAUUGACAAUAAAUUGACAAUUUAUUAGUUGUUGUUCACUUAGUUUUUAUAUAAUCACUGCUGAUCUGUAUGUUGAACUGUGUGUGUCUGUCAUUGUUAUUUUGCACUUAAGUUGCACUUUGACUUUUGUUGCACAACAGUGCAAUGACAAUGAAGAACUGAACUGAAGACCUUCAAGACCUUCACAAACACUUUAACUGCAUUAAAACUGGAGGAGGGAAACUCCAAUCUCCUCUGAGCUUCAGCAGCUCAGGAACUAAAUGUGAUGUUAAAACAAUUAGUUCUCAAAAACAGCUUCUCUCUGGACCACCUGAAUCUAACAAACCAGGUCCAACAGUCACCUGCAGGUAGGGCUGGGUACCGAACUUUUAUAGGCACCGACCGAAAUGCUUCGAUACUACCAGGUAUCGAAAGAUGCCUUGUUUUUCAGUGCCAAUUUUCGAUAACGAGGAAGUUAAUCACGUGAUCAAGAUCUGAUAAUACUGCCGUGAUUGGUUGUAACGUUACAUGCAGUAGAGGCAUGCAGGGGAAAAAAACUUACGUGGUUAGGCCCACAGACAAGGUUGACCUGUAUCUGUGUUGUUACAGUGUGUGCGCAUCGAAGCGGUUAAAAAAAUGCGACCGAGGUCAAAAGUGUGUCUCCAUUUUAGCAAGAUUGAUGCCAAUAGUGCGCGAUGCAAUAUUUGCAAAAAGGACGUCGUGGACAACCCGACCAAUUUGAUGAAGCAUUUGAACGUGCACGGAAUCAAGUUAAGCAGAGAGUUGCCUCGUGUUCAACUGCACAGUCCUUAGUAGGCAACAGUGAGCAUUAGACACUGACUUGUAACUUGUUCUUUCGCAUUGAAAAUUAUUUGUUGUAUAUUUUAGAAAACUGCUUUGAGUGGGAAAAUGCCAAAGCUGAACAGAAAAGCUGUAUCUGAAUAUCCCCAACGUCAUUGUUGAGAUAAAAUCAAUUAACAGUAAUUACAACAAUAAUGAACUUAUGAUCAUCAUCUGUCCUGACUCAAACUGCGCACUCAGAGGUUCCUAUUGUUCUGCAGCUCAUUUGUAUCACAUUUGUGUCACAUCAACAACAACAACGACGACGACGACAACAGCAGGGUGGGAGUCAGCCCUAACUUUAACCCCAGAACGCCAUCCUCAGGUUCUGAUCCGGGUCUAUAAUCAGGUUCUAUAAUCAGCGUAUGGAUAAGGUCUGUGACAGGUUCUGAUCCAGGUGUUCCCCACCUCCUUAGUAGGUGUCGUCAUGUCUCACAAGAGCAGAAUGUGGUCUGUCAGUCUGACUCUGUGGUCCUACAGGAUGUGGGAGACCAGUGUGAUCAGGACCAGGACUGUGGGGACCCAGCUGCCAGAGCAGAGAUUUGUAUCCAGGACAGGGAUCCAGAUAGGAGGACCACAUCAGGACAGACCAGACCAGAGGGACAGUCCAUCAGAAGGUUCACCUCAGCCUCAGAGAGACCUCCACCUGACACCUGGGUCCAGCCUGAGACAGAGGAAGAUGAUCAGACUAAGGUUUAUCUCAGGAGACAGUCAGUGAGAAGACAGGAUGUUUGGAUCAGUCUUUACGGUGACAGUAAACUGAUGUUUGAUUCUUUAUGGCACAGUCUGCUCUCCUUGUAAUUACUGAUUACUGAUGAUAAAACUUUUGUGUUUUGAACUCUACCUUCUAGUUUUUCACAGUGAGUUAUAUGAGAACAGUUUGUAUUAACCACAGUGUUCAGAUGAGCGUCUGCAGACUAAUCACAUUAAUAUCAUGUUGUACAUCAGGAGGAUGAAGUAAACACUUACUUAGAUUUGAUCAUUACAUUCAAACACUCCCUCACUUCUCUAAUUAUUCUCAAACUUCUUUAACCAGGCUAAGCUUUUGAUUACAACAGGAUGAUUUUCUCAUGUUUUAUAUCUGAGUUAUCUUCAGUGUGACACCUGUCAUGAGAAUAGACUCUUUAUUUAUCCUCUGAGCAGCUUGUUCUAUCUGUGCUAUAUGAAGGAGAGUCUUUUUAUAUAUAUAUAUAUUAUUUUGGGGCUUUUAUGCCUUUAUUGACAGGACAGUGAAGAGAAGACAGGAAUCGGGGAGAGAGAGUACGGGAAUGACAUGCAGUAAAUGUCCGACCGGUUCGGGAGUCAAACCAGGGACCAGCUGCUCAGGACACUGAGGCCCAUGUGGUACACACCCUAACCAUUCAUGCUAUCAGGUCACUGAUAUGAAAGAGAGUCUUGUGGCUUUAACUCAAUGCCACAACUCUCACUGACAGAUUACUGAGGUUUGACACGUCUGUUCUUUUAAUAAAGGAGAGUAAGAGCAG